GCCGCCGCGGUCAUACGGAGGGUCCAAGCGUUAUCCGGAAUUACUGGGCGUAAAGGGAGCGUAGGCGGACAUUUAAGUCAGGGGUGAAAUCCCGAGGCUCAACCUCGGAACUGCCUUUGAUACUGGAUGUCUUGAGUGUGAGAGAGGUGAGUGGAACUCCGAGUGUAGAGGUGAAAUUCGUAGAUAUUCGGAAGAACACCAGUGGCGAAGGCGACUCACUGGCUCAUUACUGACGCUGAGGCUCGAAAGCGUGGGGAGCAAA
rnacentral:rRNA from 1 species